rnacentral:rRNA from 1 species
CUACGGGUUGCUGCAGUGGGGAAUAUUGGACAAUGGGGGAAACCCUGAUCCAGCAAUGCCGCGUGUGUGAAGAAGGCCUGCGGGUUGUAAAGCACUUUCGGUUGGGAGGACUGCUUCUAGCACUAAUAUUGUUGGAAGUUGACGUUACCUUCAGAAGAAGCACCGGCUAACUCCGUGCCAGCAGCCGCGGUAAUACGGAGGGUGCAAGGUUAAUCGGAAUUACUGGGCGUAAAGCGCGCGUAGGCGGCUAGAUCAGUCGGGUGUGAAAGCCCCGGGCUUAACCGGGGAACUGCAUCCGAUACUGUCUAGCUUGAGUACAGGAGAGGAGAGUGGAAUUCCACAUGUAGCGGUGAAAUGCGUAGAUAUGUGGAGGAACACCAAUGGCGAAGGCAGCUCUCUGGCCUGAUACUGACGCUGAGGUGCGAAAGCGUUGGGAGCAAACAGGAUUAGAUACCCCCGUAGUC